UUACCAAAUCAUAUGGUACGUCAAUCUUCGCGAGAAAAUGAGCUUCAAACACUAAUAAUGAAAGCAUCCUUUUACAAUAUUUGCAUUAUUACUUUUGCCAUCAUUUAUGUUGUUUUUGUUAAGUGCAUCCUGCUAUAGAUCAUGGUAUCCUUUAGUUUCAAAAAUAUGCAAAAAAAAUUUUUAAAUAACUACGCCCAAUUACAUAUAACUUAAAGCUUCAUCCAACUCUACCAGAUCAUUCAUAAUAGUGGAUACUGGAACACCACAUUUAUGAGCCAUCUCAUGUCGAUGAGCAACUGACAUAUAUGUAAAGUAAUCGAUGAGCAUACCAUCGAGAAUUCGUCGAGUUGGAUUAGUCAAGUUGGAUGGGGAGGUGAUGAGACGAUAGGACUUGGGAUUUAGGCCGCCUAUCGUAUUAACACGGUUGGCAAGGUAGUUCUGGAUAAUGUUCAAACGACGAUACACCCGAUCAGAAAUCGGAACCAGCAUUUGAAGUCCACCAUCACUAUUUACCAUUACACAAGAGAAGUCAUCUCCCGUAUCAUAACCAUACUCGGCAUUUUGAUGCUUUUUUUCUUUUGGCAAUAUCGUCAUAGCAGUAAUUACAUUUCCUAUAUGGAAAUCUCCACGUGUUACAAGUCUUUCACCAGAAUGAGAUUCGGGAUUUUCAGGAUCAUAUGCAAGUAAUCUUAAGUUUCCAGAUGUAUCGGCCACUACAAAGUAUAAAUUCUCACCUUGCACAAGAAAAUCUGCAGCAGAUACGUUGAGCGCUUCUUGACCUUUAGAAAAUAAAGUCAUUCUGUAUGGCUCUUCGGCAAAACCGACAAACGUUACGUUUUGUCGGACAUCGCCAAACAAUAACAAAUUUCGCAAACAUUUAGCAGACAAUGUAUAACUCCCAAGGUCAAUAAAAGAAACGCCAACCAAAUGGUCUUCGUCUUCCAAAGCACGUACAAUUACUUUUUGGCCUUGACCACUCAACAAAUACCCAUCAACUUCGCAUACCACCGCGACUGUACCCUUAAUUUCCUCUCUAGUCACUAAUUUCAAUUUAUGACGAGUUUCUGGUCGCCCGGGUUGAGGCACGACAUCAAUAAUUUCAAAUAAAUAUGUAGAUCCGCGAACAGCAAUAUCUUCACCUUUGGUGAUAGAGGUCCCUACAGCGAUAUAUGGCUUCCUCAGUUUAGUUGUUUCAGAAACUUCAAGGUUAACCAAAGCAACCGAUAAGGGAAUCUCAAAUUGUUGAAAUUCAUAACUAUCUAUAACAGUCCACGUUAAGGGGGAAACAAGGUCAAGCGAACCGGUGUUGGCCAUUGGAAGAUAAUCAUUGUCAUCAGUAAUCGCAUAAGGCUCGUUUCCAUCCUCGUCAGUUACUUUAAACUCAAUCGGUACGGCACUUCCAACAGCAUAAACCAUUUUUGUAGGAUGAUAGGCUAUUCCAUUGAUUUGUUUUCCUAAAGAAACUUUCUUGUAAGGCCAUUUAUUGUCGUAUUCAAAAUCUUCUUGAAAUUUGCAAAUGCGAAUAAAUGAGUUUUCAUCUACAUAUAUAUAACCCUGUGGCGCAUGGUGUGCAUGAAAAGGUGCAACAGAUAAAAUUGGUAUGUUGGAGGAUAUAGGAAAGAACUUGGCAUUUGAGUGAAGAGUACUCAAAAUUAAAAAGGGUUUCCGCCCAGUUACAAAAACUGCGGAGUGAUUGCCUACUACUUCUAAAGCUGUCAUUUUUAAAUGAUCAACAGAGCUUGAAGCCUUUUUCUCCAUUGUAGAUUCUGCAUCUCUGGGAGUCCCAACAUUUGCUUGGAAUUCCCUUGUCAUUGUUUCUUGUGGUACUUUAGCAAAAGCUAACAAAUUUUUAUGCUUAUCAGUGUUAGAAUAUAAGAAUGCUUUGUAGACUGUAAUCUCGUUUAGUCUUGACCUGAGAAAUAAAUGUGGCUCCUUGAAAUCAUCACCUAAA